rnacentral:rRNA from 1 species
AUGAAUGCAUCUUUGAAAAAAGAUUCAUCGUAUACUUGGCAGAGUAUCAUGGCGGGUAUGAAAACCUUCAAGCUAGGGGCGAUUUGGCGACCAGGGAAUGGUGCUUCAAUUGAUAUUUGGUCUGACCAGUGGAUACCCACAAGCCAUGACCGCAAGGUAAUGACUCCUAGGGGGCUAUGUUUGUUACAGAAAGUCCAGGACUUGAUUGAUCCAAUUUCUGGAAAUUGGGAUGAGCAGCUCGUGCGUGAACUUUGGCUGGUUGAUGCAGAGAGGAUAUUGCAAAUUCCGUUGUCAUCUCAUGGACAAUCAGACUUCAUCUCAUGGCAUUUUUCGAAGUCAGGUUGCUUUACUGUCCGCUCAGCGUAUCAUAUUACAUGGAAAAAUGAAUAUAGGACACGAGCUCGAUUGGACUCGGGAGGAGGCAGAAUUGAUCCACAUCCUGUGUGGAAGUUGCUUUGGGGAAGAACUGUCCCUCCUAAAGUACAUGUGUUCAAUUGGCGGGUGUUACAUGGGAUCGUUUCAUGCUACUGCACAUUAACAGAUCGUCAUAUGAAGUCCCCUGUAAUAUGCCCAGUUUGCCGAACUACCCCGGAGGAUCUCCGCCAUAUGUUGUUUACAUGUGACAGAUCAAAGAAGGUGUGGGAGGAACUCGGUUUGAAACAUACCAUUGAAAAUGCUAUAGCACAAGAGAGGUCAGGUUCAGUUAUUUUAGAAAAAGCUACUCUGUUCGGACCUCGAGGGAGAAGCAAGGAUCCCGAUUUCAAAUGGAGUUGA